rnacentral:tRNA from 1 species
GGGCGAUUGGCUCAGUUGGUUAGAGCGUUGCGUUCACAUCGCAAAGGUCGUAGGUUCGAGUCCUACAUCGCCCA